rnacentral:rRNA from 1 species
CCUACGGGAGGCAGCAGUAGGGAAUCUUUCACAAUGGGCGAAAGCCUGAUGGAGCAACGCCGCGUGCAGGAUGAAGGCCUUCGGGUUGUAAACUGCUUUUAUAAGCGAGAAAUAUGAUGGUAACUUAUGAAUAAGGAUCGGCUAACUACGUGCCAGCAGCCGCGGUCAUACGUAGGAUCCGAGCAUUAUCCGGAGUGACUGGGGGUAAAGAGUUGCGUAGGUGGCAUAAUAAGUAGCUAGUGAAAUCUGGUGGCUCAACCAUUCAGACUAUUAGCUAAACUGUUAAGCUCGAGACCGUUAGGGGUAACUGGAAUUUCUAGUGUAGGAGUGAAAUCCGUAGAUAUUAGAAGGAACACCAAUAGCGUAGGCAGGUUGCUGGGACGGUUCUGACACUAAGGCACGAAAGCGUAGGGAGCAAACGGGAUUAGAUACCCGUGUAGUC